rnacentral:rRNA from 1 species
AUUGAACGCUGGCGGCAGGCUUAACACAUGCAAGUCGAGCGGAGUGAUGGUGCUUGCACUAUCACUUAGCGGCGGACGGGUGAGUAAUGCUUAGGAAUCUGCCAUUUAGUGGGGGACAACAUUCCGAAAGGAAUGCUAAUACCGCAUACGUCCUACGGGAGAAAGCAGGGGAUCUUCGGACCUUGCGCUAAAUGAUGAGCCUAAGGCGGAUUAGCUAGUUGGUGGGGUAAAGGCCGACCAAGGCGACGAUCUGUAGCGGGUCUGAGCGGAUGAUCCGCCACACUGGGACUGAGACCCGGCCCAGACUCCUCCGGGAGGCAGCAGUGGGGACUAUUGGACAAUGGGCGGAAGCCUGAUCCAGCCAUGCCGCGUGUGUGAAGAAGGCCUUUUGGUUGUAAAGCACUUUAAGCGAGGAGGAGGCUCUCCUAGUUAAUACCUAGGAAGAGUGGACGUUACUCGCAGAAUAAGCACCGGCUAACUCUGUGCCAGCCGCCGCAGUAACAC